AUCCCUAUUUGGAUAAAACCUUGUUGGUCUGUCUUCGGGGGGAACCAUCCCCCGCUGCAGACAGUGACGUCUCCAAGACAACAGGAAGCUGUCUGACAGUGAACUUCGGCUGGCCAGGGAAGAGAAGGGCAUCUGACGGUGUUUGCCCUCUAGUGCUGAAAAUAUUCUCAAUGUCUUUACAGUAAUGAAACGAUACCACCAAUUACAGAAGCAGUUUCAUCUACUGAAGUAUUUAAACUUAACGUCACAGAUGAAGAAAGGAACUCACAGAAGUCCCUGAGAAAUGGUGUCAGUAUGCUGUCUGUGAGAAAUACUGAAGAGCAAAUCACAGCCCUAAGGAACGCUGAGGGGAAGGCGCCCACCCAGUGCAGACCCCAGGGACACCGCAGUGGGCUUGGCUGGAAGGGCCGCUGGGACCCUGGAAAAGAGCAGAAGGGAAGUUGUGCACUUCAGUUACUUGCGUGUUGUUGGCUGUGGGAACUAGUUCCCCAGGAGCCAGCCUUGCCCGUUAUUAGAUGGGGAUGAAGAGAAAGCAAGUCACCCGUGAAGCUGCUGUCUGAUUACAGGAUAGCAUCCACAGGGGUUACUCCUUCUUACUCUAGGUAUGUUUCUUUUAUGUUCAUAAAUAUUGUAUAUUCUUUUUAUAUUUUUAUAUUGCUGAGAUUGUGUUGUAGCUACUGAUGUUUUUAAACUUAUUUUCUUGCCUCCUUUGUCAAAGAUAAGGUGUCCAUAGGUUCGUGGAUUUAUCUCUGGGCUUUCUAUUCUGUUCCAUUGAUCUAUAUUUCUGUGGAGGCAAGGAUAUACAAUGGAAAAAAAACAACCUCUUUAACAAGUGGUGCUGGGAAAACUGGUCAACCACUUGUAAAAGAAUGAAACUAGAACACUGUCUAACACCAUACACAAAAAUAAACUCAAAAUGGAUUAAAGAUCUAAAUGUAAGACCAGAAACUAUAAAACUCCUAGAGGAGAACAUAGGCAAAACACUCUCCGACAUAAAUCACAGCAAGAUCCUCUAUGACCCACCUCCCAGAAUAUUGGAAAUAAAAGCAAAACUAUCUAUGGGACCUAAUGAAACUUAAAAGCUUUUGCACUACAAAGGAAACUAUAAGUAAGGUGAAAAGACAGCCCUCAGAUUGGGAGAAAAUAAUAGCAAAUGAAGAAACAGACAAAGGAUUAAUCUCAAAAAUAUACAAGCAACUCCUGCAGCUCAAUUCCAGAAAAAUAAAUGACCCAAUCAAAAAAUGGGCCAAAGAACUAAACAGACAUUUCUCCAAAGAAGACAUACAGAUGGCUAACAAACACAUGAAAAGAUGCUCAACAUCACUCAUUAUUAGAGAAAUGCAAAUCAAAACCACAAUGAGGUACCA